rnacentral:rRNA from 1 species
GACGAACGCUGGCGGCGUGCUUAACACAUGCCAGUCGAACGAAGCUUGAUUACGGAUUCUUCGGAUGAAGUAUGAUAUGACUGAGUGGCGGACGGGUGAGUAACGCGUGAGUAACCUGCCCUUCAGAGGGGGAUAGCGUUUGGAAACGAACGGUAAUACCGCAUAAUGUAUUUUGACCGCAUGAUCGAAAUACCAAAGAUUUAUCGCUGAAGGAUGGACUCGCGUCUGAUUAGGUAGUUGGUGGGGUAACGGCCUACCAAGCCGACGAUCAGUAGCCGGACUGAGAGGUUGAUCGGCCACAUUGGGACUGAGACACGGCCCAGACUCCUACGGGAGGCAGCAGUGGGGAAUAUUGCACAAUGGGCGCAAGCCUGAUGCAGCAACGCCGCGUGAAGGAAGACGGUUUUCGGAGUGUAAACUUCUGUUCUUAGUGAAGAAUAAUGACGGUAGCUAAGGAGCAAGCCACGGCUAACUACGUG